UCCCGGUUGGCCCGGGCAGUCUCGCAUGAAAAAUACAACAUACGAUAAGGGUUGCGCUCGUUGCGGGACUUAACCCAACAUUUCACAACACGAGCUGACGACGGCCAUGCAGCACCUGUCACUGAGCUCCCGAAGGCACUCCACCGUUUCCGGCGGAUUCUCAGGAUGUCAAGCCUGGGUAAGGUUCUACGCGUAGCGUCAUAUUAAACCACAUCAUCCUCUGCUUGUGCGGGUCCCCGUCAAUUCCUUUGAGUUUUAGCCUUGCGGCCGUACUUCCCAGGCGGCAUACUUAUCGCGUUAGCUUCGACGCACAGGGGGUCGAUACCCCAUACGUCUAGUAUGCAUCGUUUACAGCGUGGACUAC
rnacentral:misc_RNA from 1 species